rnacentral:rRNA from 1 species
GAUGAACGCUGGCGGCGUGCCUAAUACAUGCAAGUCGAGCGAAUGGAUUAAGAGCUUGCUCUUAUGAAGUUAGCGGCGGACGGGUGAGUAACACGUGGGUAACCUGCCCAUAAGACUGGGAUAACUCCGGGAAACCGGGGCUAAUACCGGAUAACAUUUUGAACCGCAUGGUUCGAAAUUGAAAGGCGGCUUCGGCUGUCACUUAUGGAUGGACACGCGUCGCAUUAGCUAGUUGAUGAGGUAACGGCUCACCAAGGCAACGAUGCGUAGCCGAGCUGGAAGUGGAAGCGGCCAAACUGGGGCUGGGACACGGCCCGGACUCCUACGGGAGGCAGCAGUAGGGAAUCUUCCGCAAUGGACGAAAGGCGGACGGAGCAACGCCGCGUGAGUGAUGAAGGCUUUCGGGUCGUAAAACUCUUUUGUUAGGGAAGAACAAGUGCUAGUUGAAUAAGCUGGCACCUUGACGGUACCUAACCAGAAAGCCACGGCUAACUACGUGCCAGCCGCCGCAGUAA